UUGCCUAAGGUCCCACAAUGAGUUAGGGGUAUUGCCAGGCUUUGAACUCAGGUCUGUCAGAUCAGUGGUUCUUAAAUCUUUUUUUCUUUUUUUCCUUCCUUCCAUAGAUUCUCAGAAUCACAUGAAAGAAAUCAUAGGUUCUCUCUGACAGAGGCACAGGCACCCCACAUUUUAUGUUCCAUUUCCAGGAUUUCACAAACUUGAAGCCCAUGCUCCAUGGCCCAGAGAGAGAAGGCAGCCGAAGACGAAACCCUGGAGAAGAGAGUAUUGUGGAUAACUGGAAUCGGUAUUGAGAUGAAAAGUUAGAAGAACCUGGGCAGGGAGAUUGCCAAAGAAUUAAAAAGUAUGAGUGUGGCUAAGUGAUGGCCUUGCCUGCAUUUUCAAGGAAGAACUGGAAGCUGCCAUUCUGCACAGGGAAAAUUAUGCCACUACAGGAGAUUUCCGAAUGACAAGAGGUCUUCAGAAACAGAAUAAUGCAAAAUGGCUUUGAAACCAAAACCAGUGAUUAUUAGAGCCUUUCAUGUUUUCCAGACAGGCAUGUAACUUCACUUCCCCCAUAGCCGUUGUGGAGAUGUGACGUUUGUUACUAACAAGUACAGAUUUGUGUAGAAUUAGGAGGAUGAAGGAUUAUCACAGCCCCUCUCCCUUUUUUCCCCCGUAAUCAGGGGGACAGAUGUCAAGUAUCAGCUAUUAAUCUUCAAAAACAGGUUUCAGACAGCACCAGGGAUUAAUUUAGAAUUAAUUACACAAUUGAUUCGUUAAUGGUCAGUAACCUUCCAUCCAUCAAUUACUAUUAAUGCCUGGUCAGGUUACUGAAGACUACCUGUGUGCAGUCACGAAACGUUAAGUGUGCUGCAGUGUGUGUGCUCCGUGAACAAAUGCGGUAGGUUGUCCUUGCAGCCACUGGGUUAGGUAAAAGUCAGGUGCAGACACUUAAUAACAAAAAUGCUUGUAGACAGUAUUUCCACUCCUAAAAGACUGCUAGUAAAUGAAAAAUUGAUCUAUUUUUUCUAAUGUAGGAAAUAGAUUACCAAAAUUUGACAAAGCUUAUAAAUACUUAUCUCACUGGAUAAAUUUGAUACACAGGUGUUAUUGAAACAAGAAAUCAGUAUGGUGGUUUUAGAGAAUAAUGACAAAAUCGUUCAUCCCAGUGACUUCAUUUUGUACUUGAAUAGUGUAUUAUGAGUGAGACUAGGGUUGCUAAAAGAGACGGGUUGCUAAAAGUGACAGGUUGCCAACUUCGAUCAGUACUUUUGAAAAGGGACUAAACAAACACAGCGAAAGUGUUUUAGCGCUAUAUCACUUAGCAAAUAAAACUAUCAUUUGAUGAUAAUCUUAUUUUCAUAUUGUGAUAUGUGUGCCCUUCAUGGCUAAAACCAGAAAAUUAAGACUUUAAUUCUUUGGAUGGAUUCUCCUAGGUGAUUAACGGAGGCUGCUGAUCAUCAACCCCAGGUGUACGACAUGGGGGUAGAACCAGGACAGCAAACUCAAAUGGCAGUGGAGACAGGCAGGUGCUGUAAGGUAACAAACAGGGCAGGCCGGGUGAACCGGGCCUGCUGGAGGAGAUGUGCUAGCCAUUCGGCUGGACUGGAAAUGGGAGCUCAGAGUUAACCUGAUCUGUCCAUUUUUCCAGAGAAGCUAGAUGAGAGGUGAUUUUUGAAUUUUCUUUCAAUUUUUAGAUGGCAACCAUACAUCUUUUUUUCUUAAAAACGUAUGGGGGUCAGGGGGCCGAUGACAGUUGCAGCCCAUCGGUGACCAGUUUGCAGCUUGGUAGCUUCAGGAAGCCUCCUUUGGCGUCCUGACUUGCUUUGGGUUUCUGAACCUUUUGUAUCCGCAAUUGUGAGAAAUACAGGCCUGGACCUAAAACUUCCUCGACGAGCCUUUUAUCAAGAUUUGAAAUACUGCCACUGGUCAAAAAGCAGAGAACCAAGGUUUGAAAUUAGCAUUCUACGUAGUCUUACUACGUAACACACGUAAGUGAAAAACAUCAGUGAGAUGGUCAAAUACAAAAAAAUUCUCCGUUUUUCCCAUAAAACAUGGCUUAGAUGGCCCAAUUUAUUAAUUUUAUGUGACAGCUUUCUACCAACACUCAUGGUAAUUAAUGUGCAUAUGUUAUAGUUUGUAAUGUUUUCAUAUAAAUGAACCUCAUAAUGAGCCUGGUUUUCUCCUCCAUUUUACAGCUGAGGAAAUAGGCUGAAGGAAGUAAUUUCUCCCAGCAUCAGAGAGCCAGCAUGAGGAGAGCUGGGAUCAGAAUUUGGUUUUCCAGCUGCAGUGUCCAGUGCUCAUUUCUCCUAUACCAUAUGGCCACAUUAAAAAGAAAUGUGUUAGGUUCCAAUUUUAUUUUCACUUCCAAACUGAUACUCUGAAGCUAACACAGAGACUCUGAUUUUGUAUUAAAAAAUACAUAUGCAUAGGACUAAAUAUAGAGAAUAUUCAUCAAAAUAUUAAUGGGUGUUAUUACCUCUGCAGGGUAGAAUGACAAGGCAAGUCGACUUUAGUAUCCUGAAUUUCUUUUGCAAUGAGCAUAUUCUCUUUCAGGAAAAGAAAGGAAAAACUGGACUCCUUCACCUCAGAACUGUAUUGUUUACUCAUCAUGAAGCAGUUUACUCACCUGGACCUUUAUCUGCAGUCUUAGAGUUUUCAGCUUCCCCAUCUAGCACUGGGAGUGAAGAACAUUUCUUGUUUCUUUUAGCAUCUCUUACCUGUUAUCCUCAUCUAAUUUUAGGCUGGUGGGGCUAAAAUGGUAAAACAAACAAAAAAGCCGGGAAGGGGGGAAUGGAGUGUUCUGUGGCUUUUUGCUCUCUUCUAGGUCAACACUCAAUCUAAGCCUCGACUGAAAAGCCGUGGUUGCUGUGUGUGAUCACAUCAGUCCAGGUGGUUUUUAGAGGUGGGAGUUGAGGGAACGAGUUAUUUUAAGAAACUGACAUUUUAAUCCUACUUCUUCCCCUCUAGCAUGAACUGCAAUGCGAUAACUGGCUGAAAACAGAGCCCUAAUUUUUAAAUGGGCACAGGGAACACACUCUACCAAAACUGCUCUUGUCAAGGUCACCAUUCAGCAAAUCCGGCUGCCUCUGCAGUUUAUUCCACCACUCCCCAGCGUCCCUGCAGCUCAGGGCCAUGGUGACACUUAAAAGGUAAGUCAAAUUGGGCCGUUCCUCUGCUGAAAACCUCCAGCUACUUUCUUCCCCUCGAUAAUUGCUCUCGUGGUCGGUCUCUCCUUUUUCUGUAAGUAAGUACCACCGUACUAGAGAGGCCUUCUGUGACACCCUAUAGCAGAGAGUUCUCAUGCCCUAUCAAUCACCUAUAUCUGGUUUUGUAUUUUCUUCCUUCCUAGCACUUCUCCCCAUCUAAGUAAGUUUAUAAUUGGGAAAAAAAGAUUCCCUUGGCCAAUAUAGCUAAAAUCUUCAGUGAGACUGGCUUUGGCAGAUUCUAGAAUCUAGGGUUAUGGUAGCCUCCAAAAAAAGGAGUAACUUCCUAUCUUCUGUAGAUACUUGUUUCAGAGGGAAAGCUUAUGAUACACUGCAUUUCUCAUCUGUUCUAUGUACUAAGCACUGUGUUUAAUUAUACAGCAUGUUCUCUUCGUAAAAUUCAGAAGGCUUAAAGGUAAGAGAUGACAUGCAUGAUCCCCUAUUUUACUGAAGAGGCAGAGUCAGGAUUUGAACUCAAGUAAAGUACUGUAGUCUCUGUAACCACUUACCAUAAACCAGAGACGUUCAAAUGACGCAAAUGUGACAUUAUUUUAACCUUACUGGACCCCAUCCUUAGAGAGAGAUGUCAAAAAAAGUAAAUUGAAAGAAACAACGCAGUAUUUAUUUUAUACAGUUCAACUGGGCACAAAGUAAAGUAAGCACCUCUACAGGAAAUCCUUUGUGUGUGAGGUUUUUUUUUUUUUUUUUUUUUUUUACAUAUUAAUUACUCUGGAUAGUUUUUGAACUCUGUUUAAUAGCAGGUCUCCUUUCUUGAUAGUUUCUUGGUACUGCCAGUUCUUGCUAUCAGGUCUAUAAAUAAAUUGAAGAAAAAAAUGAAUUAUUUACCAGUCACAUUACUCCAUAACAAUAGUUGACCUACUUUAAAAAGAAGGCACUCUUCUUUUAAGAGUGCCCUUUAUUCUGUGCAGUAUUACAAAUGAUACACAAACUUGAGUACCUGUUCGUUUCCACUAUUUCAUUCACUUUAUCUAUUUUGCAGUGUAGCCUCCCAGCAGCAAUAAAUCUGGAGAGUUCCCUAAUUGAGAGAGAAGGGGAAAAAAAGCCUUUAGCAUUACCCUUAGUUAGCCUUAUAGAGAAUUCUUAGAAAAAUAAACUGCACUAAAUAAACACAUGAUUUGUCUGUCGUCCAAGGUAACAUUUUGAUGCCCAGUAGUUGAGAGGAUGGUCUCCGGUGUACUGCAGGUGUCUUAUCUACCAGAAUUAACGUGACCCUACAAGUGCCUAUUCAUAUGAAGCAUAGGUGUCAAAGAAUGAAGCCAUCCACAGCUACACAAUUUACAUAGUUGCAUCUCCAGACUGCAGCUGCGAAACCCACUGGUACCUAUUAUUCUGGGACUGAAGUACACAGAGAAAACUACCCAACCAGAUCUAACCAGCCCUGUGAGUCCUACCCAGAUCCAAAGAACAGUAGGGGAAACCUCUAAAGAAGAAUCUUGAUAUGAUUUAGGAACAAGAUGUAGAGAACAGCACUAGACUUGACGUACAAGCAAACUGACUCAAGAAUGCCCUCUGCUGAGGAAGAGAACGAGGAAAUUUCUGGCUCCAUAGUUUGGGUACACUUAAGAUCUGCGCAUUUUGUAAAGAUUACUGAAAACCCACCCACCCAUAAACAAACAAACAUUGAUAUGCAUGCUCAGGUGACUGGGGAUGAAAUGUACUGGUGUCUGACACUUCCUUUCAAGUGGUUAAAAAUAAGAUGGAAGGUGAUAAAACAAAUACAACAAAAUGUUAAUAAAUUACAGAAUCAAGGAUCUAUGGGAAUUUACGGUGUAACUCUUUACAAUUUUCUGCAUGUUUGAAAUUUUUCAUAAUAAAAUAUUAGAAAAAAACCAAAAUGGCUAAAAAGAGUGUGGUCUUUUAAAAUGAAAUGCAGCUUCAUUAAAAACUGCUUUUUUCACUGUGAGCCAC